AUUGAACGCUGGCGGCAUGCCUUACACAUGCAAGUCGAGCGCGAAAGGGGGCAACCCCGAGUAGAGCGGCGGACGGGUGAGUAACACAUCGGAACGUGCCCAGUAGUGGGGGACAACCUCGAGAAAUCGAGGCUAAUACCGCAUACGACCCACGGGUGAAAGCGGGGGACCCAAAGGAAACUGAGGGCCUCGCGCUAUUGGAGCGGCCGAUGUCCGAUUAGCUAGUUGGCGGGGUAAGAGCCCACCAAGGCGACGAUCGGUAGCUGGUCUGAGAGGACGACCAGCCACACUGGGACUGAGACACGGCCCAGACUCCUACGGGAGGCAGCAGUGGGGAAUUUUGGACAAUGGGGGCAACCCUGAUCCAGCCAUGCCGCGUGCGGGAAGAAGGCCU
rnacentral:rRNA from 1 species